CCUUCGGGGGGGCGCCGUGGGGAAUAUUGGACAAUGGGGGCAACCCUGAUCCAGCCAUGCCGCGUGUGUGAAGAAGGCCCUCGGGUUGUAAAGCACUUUCAGUGAGGAAGAACGCCUGGUGGUUAAUACCCAUCAGGAAAGACAUCACUCACAGAAGAAGCACCGGCUAACUCCGUGCCAGCAGCCGCGGUAAUACGGAGGGUGCGAGCGUUAAUCGGAAUUACUGGGCGUAAAGCGCGCGUAGGUGGCUUGAUAAGCCGGUUGUGAAAGCCCCGGGCUCAACCUGGGAACGGCAUCCGGAACUGUCAAGCUAGAGUGCAGGAGAGGAAGGUAGAAUUCCCGGUGUAGCGGUGAAAUGCGUAGAGAUCGGGAGGAAUACCAGUGGCGAAGGCGGCCUUCUGGACUGACACUGACACUGAGGUGCGAAAGCGUGGGUAGCAAACAGGAUUAGAUACCCCAGUAGUC
rnacentral:rRNA from 1 species